rnacentral:ncRNA from 2 species
GUCGAAUCCGGCGAUGGAUCCCGCCGGGACCCACUUGGGUCCGAACCGCCGCAGUGGCUGAUGGUUCCUGCCUUCGA